rfam:Triticum aestivum genome assembly, contig: Triticum_aestivum_CS42_TGACv1_scaffold_580708_7BL
UAUGUACUCCCUCCGUUCGGAAUUACUUGUGGUGGAAAUGGAUGUAUCUAGACGUAUUUUAGUUCUAGAUACAUCCAUUUCCGAGACAAGUAAUUCCGAACGGAGGGAGUAUCAA